AGAGUUUGAUCCUGGCUCAGGAUGAACGCUGGCGGCAUGCCUAAUACAUGCAAGUCGAACGAGGGUCCUUCGGGACUCGAGUGGCGAACGGGUGAGUAACACGUAGGGAACCUGCCCGUGCGACCGGGAGAACUUUCGGAAACGGAAGCUGAUACCGGAUAGGGACAGAGACGGCAUCGACUCUGUGUUAAAGGAGCUGAAAGGCUCCGCGCACGGAUGGACCUGCGGUGCAUUAGCUAGUUGGUGAGGUAACGGCCCACCAAGGCGACGAUGCAUAGCCGGCCUGAGAGGGCGGACGGCCACACUGGGACUGAGACACGGCCCAGACUCCUACGGGAGGCAGCAGUGAGGAAUAUUGGUCAAUGGGCGCGAGCCUGAACCAGCCAAGUCGCGUGAGGGAAGACGGCCCUACGGGUUGUAAACCUCUUUUGCCGGGGAGCAACGGGCGCCACGUGUGGCGCCACUGAGAGUACCCGGAGAAAAAGCAUCGGCUAACUCCGUGCCAGCAGCCGCGGUAAUACGGAGGAUGCGAGCGUUAUCCGGAUUUAUUGGGUUUAAAGGGUGCGUAGGCGGAGCGUUAAGUCAGUGGUCAAAUUGAGGGGCUCAACCCCUUCCCGCCAUUGAAACUGGCGCUCUUGAGCGGAAGAGAAGUAUGCGGAAUGCGUGGUGUAGCGGUGAAAUGCAUAGAUAUCACGCAGAACCCCGAUUGCGAAGGCAGCAUGCCGGCUUCCUACUGACGCUGAAGCACGAAAGCGUGGGGAUCGAACAGGAUUAAAUACUCUGGUAGUCCACGCGGUAAAACGAUGAGCGCCUAGGUGUCCGGGGGGGAAAUGCCCCCUGGGUGCCCCCACCGAAAACCUUUAAAGCGCUCCCCCCUGGGGAGUACGCCGGCAACGGUGAAACUCAAAGGAAUUGACGGGGGCCCGCACAAGCGGAGGAAACAUGUGGUUUAAUUCGAUGAUACGCGAGGAACCUUACCCGGGCUCAAACGUUGCAGGAAGGGCUUCUGAAAGGAAGCCCGUCUACGGACCUGCAACGAGGUGCUGCAUGGUUGUCGUCAGCUCGUGCCGUGAGGUGUCGGCUUAAGUGCCAUAACGAGCGCAACCCCUACCGCCAGUUGCCAACAGGCAAAGCUGGGGACUCUGGCGGGACUGCCGGCGCAAGCUGCGAGGAAGGCGGGGAUGACGUCAAAUCAGCACGGCCCUUACGUCCGGGGCGACACACGUGUUACAAUGGCAGGUACAGCGGGAAGCCACCUGGCGACAGGGAGCGGAACCCGAAAGCCUGUCUCAGUUCGGAUUGGAGUCUGCAACCCGACUCCAUGAAGCUGGAUUCGCUAGUAAUCGCGCAUCAGCCACGGCGCGGUGAAUACGUUCCCGGGCCUUGCACACACCGCCCGUCAAG
rnacentral:rRNA from 1 species